AGCGAACGCUGGCGGCAGGCCUAACACAUGCAAGUCGAACGGACCCUUCGGGGUUAGUGGCGGACGGGUGAGUAACACGUGGGAACGUGCCUUUAGGUUCGGAAUAGCUCCUGGAAACGGGUGGUAAUGCCGAAUGUGCCCUUCGGGGGAAAGAUUUAUCGCCUUUAGAGCGGCCCGCGCCUGAUUAGCUAGUUGGUGAGGUAAUGGCUCACCAAGGCGACGAUCAGUAGCUGGUCUGAGAGGAUGACCAGCCACAUUGGGACUGAGACACGGCCCAGACUCCUACGGGGGGCAGCAGUGGGGAAUCUUGCGCAAUGGGCGAAAGCCUGACGCAGCCAUGCCGCGUGGAUGAUGAAGGUCUUAGGAUUGUAAAAUCCUUUCACCGGUGAAGAUAAUGACUGUAGCCGGAGAAGAAGCCCCGGCUAACUUCGUGCCAGCAGCCGCCGUAACAC
rnacentral:rRNA from 1 species